rnacentral:rRNA from 1 species
GAUGAACGCUGGCGGCGUGCCUAAUACAUGCAAGUCGAGCGAACGGACGAGAAGCUUGCUUCUCUGAUGUUAGCGGCGGACGGGUGAGUAACACGUGGAUAACCUACCUAUAAGACUGGGAUAACUUCGGGAAACCGGAGCUAAUACCGGAUAAUAUUUUGAACCGCAUGGUUCAAAAGUGAAAGACGGUCUUGCUGUCACUUAUAGAUGGAUCCGCGCUGCAUUAGCUAGUUGGUAAGGUAACGGCUUACCAAGGCAACGAUGCAUAGCCGACCUGAGAGGGUGAUCGGCCACACUGGAACUGAGACACGGUCCAGACUCCUACGGGAGGCAGCAGUAGGGAAUCUUCCGCAAUGGGCGAAAGCCUGACGGAGCAACGCCGCGUGAGUGAUGAAGGUCUUCGGAUCGUAAAACUCUGUUAUUAGGGAAGAACAUAUGUGUAAGUAACUGUGCACAUCUUGACGGUACCUAAUCAGAAAGCCACGGCUAACUACGUGCCAGCAGCCGCGGUAAUACGUAGGUGGCAAGCGUUAUCCGGAAUUUAUGGGCGUAAGCGCGCGUAGGCGGUUUUUUAAGUCUGAUGUGAAAGCCCACGGCUCAACCGUGGAGGGUCAUUGGAAACUGGAAAACUUGAGUGCAGAAGAGGAAAGUGGAAUUCCAUGUGUAGCGGUGAAAUGCGCAGAGAUAUGGAGGAACACCAGUGGCGAAGGCGACUUUCUGGUCUGUAACUGACGCUGAUGUGCGAAAGCGUGGGGAUCAAACAGGAUUAGAUACCCUGGUAGUCCACGCCGUAAACGAUGAGUGCUAAGUGUUAGGGGGUUUCCGCCCCUUAGUGCUGCAGCUAACGCAUUAAGCACUCCGCCUGGGGAGUACGACCGCAAGGUUGAAACUCAAAGGAAUUGACGGGGACCCGCACAAGCGGUGGAGCAUGUGGUUUAAUUCGAAGCAACGCGAAGAACCUUACCAAAUCUUGACAUCCUUUGACAACUCUAGAGAUAGAGCCUUCCCCUUCGGGGGACAAAGUGACAGGUGGUGCAUGGUUGUCGUCAGCUCGUGUCGUGAGAUGUUGGGUUAAGUCCCGCAACGAGCGCAACCCUUAAGCUUAGUUGCCAUCAUUAAGUUGGGCACUCUAAGUUGACUGCCGGUGACAAACCGGAGGAAGGUGGGGAUGACGUCAAAUCAUCAUGCCCCUUAUGAUUUGGGCUACACACGUGCUACAAUGGACAAUACAAAGGGCAGCGAAACCGCGAGGUCAAGCAAAUCCCAUAAAGUUGUUCUCAGUUCGGAUUGUAGUCUGCAACUCGACUACAUGAAGCUGGAAUCGCUAGUAAUCGUAGAUCAGCAUGCUACGGUGAAUACGUUCCCGGGUCU